UGAGUACUGGGUCCACUGGAGAGGGAAGAGCCGCGGCCGCGAGGAUUCCCAGCAGCGGCCGCGUGUUGAGAGCCUAGAAGUGGCCCCGAAGCCGUGCCUUUCCCGAUAGCCAAGCAGAAGUAGGACUUGAAGCACCGAGGCUGGGAUGCCCAUGCUGGUGACGCCUUGGGGCUCGCAGUUAUACUUGGUGACCGGUCUACACGGCGAUUCGGUGCUUUCCCGAGUAGCAGAUUCAUCUAUCUUUAGACCCACCUUCGUCCUUCCGCGGUUUAGCACCGCCUGCGCUUUCCUGCGAGCCCUGCUGUCACCCGAACAGCCUGAUGACUUCACGCUCAACCACUGGAGGGCACAACCACAUCAUUUUUAAAAAACAGAUUCCUCCACUUAAAGGACAUGGUUUUGGGGGAAAGAACAUUUUAAAAAUGUAAAAAGAUAUAUAUCUAUAUCUAUAUAUCUAUCUCAGAUUGUUCUGUUAUAAACUCAGGUGGGAUUCUUCAAAACAGGAGGUUGUUCCAGUCUCUUCAUUUUGCAGCUGAGAAAACGAAGGCCUUGGAGCUUGAGAACUCCAGUUGCCCAAGGCGCACAGGUGGUGGUGAAAGCAUAUUGACUUUCCUGACUUCUUAUGACCACAUUUGAGGAAAGGAGUAAGCACUGGAAUCACCAACACAGCAUGCUUACGGAGGGUGGUCGCCAGCUUCAUCAGCCUCCCAAUUCCACGGAGC
rnacentral:lncRNA from 1 species